rnacentral:lncRNA from 1 species
GGCACUCUCUUUACUUGUAUAUUCAUCCUUACACUAUGAACAAAGAAAUUACAUUGUUACGAUUCUCUUUUAUGCCACGUUCACUGACUUACAAGUUAAUAAAUAAAAAACCAAAAGACACGAUCAUUAGCAAAACAUUUAAAACAUACCUGUUCAUAUUCUUUCCAAUUGUCAACAGUAAUGUCAUCGGUAAGUAUAAGAUCUUCGUCUAUUAUAAUUUUUCGAUCUUCCAGCACGAAUUUGAUCUCCGUAAAAAUUUCUUUGCCCAUAGCAAUGGAGACGUCAGAUAUAAUUGUAGAUGGUGUGUUUGUUAACAGAAUGUCUGCUUCUUACAAUAAAUAAGAGCAUUUGUUAAAGCAUUUUUCAUCU